GACGAACGCUGGCGGCGUGCUUAACACAUGCAAGUCGAACGGAAAGGCCCUGCUUUUGUGGGGUGCUCGAGUGGCGAACGGGUGAGUAACACGUGAGUAACCUGCCCUUGACUUUGGGAUAACUUCAGGAAACUGGGGCUAAUACCGGAUAGGAGCUCCUGCUGCAUGUGGGGGGUUGGAAGGUUUCGGCGGUUGGGGAUGGACUCGCGGCUUAUCAGCUUGUUGGGGGGGUAGUGGCUUACCAAGGCUUUGACGGGUAGCCGGCCUGAGAGGGUGACCGGCCACAUUGGGACUGAGAUACGGCCCAGACUCCUACGGGAGGCAGCAGUGGGGAAUAUUGCACAAUGGGCGGAAGCCUGAUGCAGCAACGCCGCGUGCGGGAUGACGGCCUUCGGGUUGUAAACCGCUUUCGCCUGUGACGAAGCGUGAGUGACGGUAAUGGGUAAAGAAGCACCGGCUAACUACGUG
rnacentral:rRNA from 1 species